CCGUAGCUCAGCUGGAUAGAGCGUCUGCCUCCGGAGCAGAAGGCCGCAGGUUCGAAUCCUGCCGGG
rnacentral:tRNA from 1 species